UUCCUCAUGGCCCAAUGGUUACGGCGUUCGGCUACGAGCGAAAGACUACAUUCUUAGGAAACCGAGAGAUUCCAGGUUCGAGUCCUGGUGGGGAAG